CUGUUAUGAAAUAACACAGGACUUUCUGUACAAAUUUAGGAAAUCGUCAGAUGUUUCAGGACAGGGAAAGACCUGAGCAAACCGUGGAGAUGCAAAGUCGGUCUUCUGCACCCUCACUCCUGCUGCAGAUCUUCUCAUUACCCUCACCUUGUUAUUAAGUCUUUAUUUCUCUGUCCUAAAAUGACCGACCCUUAAGGACUGGCUCAAGGUUUCCCACUGAUCCAACUUCAUGUGCUGUGUCUAGAAAGGUUCCUGUCUGCAGAAGCCAGAAAGGACUUUGCUGAACAUGAAAAUGGCAUUCCUCUGUGUUUGGGUUUGCCUUAACAGUCACCUAAGAAGACAUUUACAUUUGAAAUGUGAACCAACUACAACUAGUUGUUGUGAUGCCUAUCAAUAAGCUGAGUGGAAGAUAGUCA
rnacentral:lncRNA from 1 species